rnacentral:rRNA from 1 species
ACGGAACGAAAAGGCCAGCCCUAAUACGGCAGGCCCAUGACGGUACCGUAAGAAUAAGCACCGGCUAACUACGUGCCAGCAGCCGCGGUAAUACGUAGGGUGCGAGCGUUAAUCGGAAUUACUGGGCGUAAAGCGUGCGCAGGCGGUGAUGUAAGACAGUUGUGAAAUCCCCGGGCUCAACCUGGGAAUUGCAUCUGUGACUGCAUCGCUAGAGUACGGUAGAGGGGGAUGGAAUUCCGCGUGUAGCAGUGAAAUGCGUAGAUAUGCGGAGGAACACCGAUGGCGAAGGCAAUCCCCUGGACCUGUACUGACGCUCAUGCACGAAAGCGUGGGGAGCAAACAGGAUUAGAUACCCUGGUAGUCCACGCCCUAAACGAUGUCAACUGGUUGUUGGGUGCAUUAGUACUCAGUAACGAAGCUAACGCGUGAAGUUGACCGCCUGGGGAGUACGGCCGCAAGGUUGAAACUCAAAUGAAUUGACGG